GCAUGCUGGUUGUUGAGGAAUUGGAAUCAGUAUAUCAUGAAGAUUGAAUUAUAUGAUGCUGCAAAGAGCAUGAAGGCAAGCAGAGAGAAUGGCAACUUGAUCGUAUUUCCAUCUGUUGAGGGUCUUACUCCUGUUGAUGAAGAAGAUUAGUUGAAAGAUACAGAAGUGAGGCAGUACCCGGAACUGUGCUGGGAGAUCCUGAUGGAGCGUGGGCUGGAGAAGCAGCUGGAACAGGCAAGAAGGCAUUGGGCAAAGCUAGAGCCUGAGUCUGGUUGAUAUCAAUCCCCAGAGACGAGCCACCACCGUUAAGAACCUCACACAAGCACUGAGGCGAUGAUCCGACAACACUAGCAAGCUGUGUGCAGCAUUGAGAAGAAGGGGUUGAAGAGUUCCCUGUUAUGUAAUCGAGGCAAGGCGACAAGCUGAUCAACACAUUCGUACAACUUGACUGAGCUCUAGCCCCUGCCCACAACAAUGUAACUAGAACCAGGAACAGACCCAGCUCUAAACUCCUGUUUCCCAUUAUGCCUUCCUUUCGAUUGAACCUGGAAAUGCCAAGAAAAUUGAGAUCUUCUUAACACUCUGGAGUUGGAGUAGUUUUGUGAAGAGAGAAGAGAAUGGUGAAGUUUAUAUAUGUAGAAUACAAGAAGAGAAGAGAAACACAAGUUGAGCUAAGCAGGUAACAACUUCUCCUACUCUCAAAUAUUUUUCUAAGGUCAAUUGUAAGAUAUUGCCAUAUUGGAGUUUGAUGUAUGUUCAAACCUGGAGACUUGAGAAACUAAACUGGUCUUAUUUUGUUGUGGUGACGAUUUGAAGAAAAGAAGAAUUUGGUGUAGUUGUUAACUAAGAAAAGUAUAACUUGUCUCUGACUCCAGCCUUUGUGGAAUCAGUCUUUGUAGCUUUAUCAUUGAGAGAUAAGAAUCAAAUCAAAAUCAGAAAGCA